UACGUAGGAGACGAGCGUUGUCCGGAAUUACUGGGCGUAAAGGGUGCGCAGGCGGCCCUGCGCGUCGCGAGUGAAAUCUCCCGGCUCAACUGGGAGGGUGGUCGCGAGACGGCAGGGCUUGAGGCUCGGUGAGGGGCGUGGAAUUCCGGGUGGAGCGGUGAAAUGCGUAGAGACCCGGAGGAACACCAGUGGCGAAGGCGGCGUCCUGGCCUGCGACUGACGCUGUGGCGCGAAAGCUAGGGGAGCGAACGGG
rnacentral:rRNA from 1 species